rnacentral:rRNA from 1 species
GAGUAACACGUGGGUGAUCUGCCCUGCACUUCGGGAUAAGCUGGGAAACUGGGUCUAAUACCGGAUGGGAGCCAUUUUAGUGUGAUGGUUGGAAAGUUUUUCGGUGUAGGAUGAGCUCGCGGCCUAUCAGCUUGUUGGUGGGGUAAUGGCCUACCAAGGCGGCGACGGGUAGCCGGCCUGAGAGGGUGGACGGCCACAUUGGGACUGAGAUACGGCCCAG